GAUGAACGCUGGCGGCGUGCCUAAUACAUGCAAGUCGAGCGAAUGGAUUAAGAGCUUGCUCUUAUGAAGUUAGCGGCGGACGGGUGAGUAACACGUGGGUAACCUGCCCAUAAGACUGGGAUAACUCCGGGAAACCGGGGCUAAUACCGGAUAACAUUUUGAACCGCAUGGUUCGAAAUUGAAAGGCGGCUUCGGCUGUCACUUAUGGAUGGACCCGCGUCGCAUUAGCCAGUUGGUGAGGUAACGGCUCACCAAGGCAACGAUGCGUAGCCGACCGGAGAGGGUGAUCGGCCACACUGGGACUGGGACACGGCCCAGACUCCUACGGGAGGCAGCAGUAGGGAAUCUUCCGCAAUGGACGAAAGUCUGACGGAGCAACGCCGCGUGAGUGAUGAAGGCUUUCGGGUCGUAAAACUCUGUUGUUAGGGAAGAACAAGUGCUAGUUGAAUAAGCUGGCACCUUGACGGUACCUAACCAGAAAGCCACGGCUAACUACGUGCCAGCCGCCGCGGUAA
rnacentral:rRNA from 1 species